UGGGAAACGGUACAACUUUUAAUUCACAUUGUAAUUUCCAUGCCUGUUUAGAAAGUCUCCAAUUUUCUAAUUUAUACUCCAGGUUUUGAUGGGGGAAAAAAAAGGAGAGAGAAAAUGGUUGCCAUAUGCUUCCGCACAUUUGUUUUAAAUGUGAAAAUAAACACAAAGACACACACACACACACACACACACACACACUCACUCACACCCUUCAUCCUAAAACAUCAUAUAAUUGAAAGCCGGCUCCUCAGAUUUGACUCUGAAUCUAAAUACUCAUAAGGAAUCCUCACUGAGAAUCAGACGUGUUCACAGUGUCUUCACGUUAAGCACAAUGCGCUGUUAUUAGAAAAGGCUGUGGAAGCGUCCCUCGAGAUGGAAUCUCGAUAGAGCAGCAAGCUGGGGAGGAAGAGCGAGGCGCUGAAACCAUUAACUGCAAUGCGUGGCGAGUACAGUCUGGCAGCAUCUGGCAAGCUCCAGAUUGCUGUUCUGGAUGAUUCCCUCAGAAAUUCCUGCCAAGCUCCACAGUCCAGAAACGCUGCCCUCUGUCUGUCCAUGCAGGCCAGCUCGAUCUGGCGGUCUAUGGUAUGAUACAUCUAUGAUAAGUCUGCAAGUGCGGUCCUGACCCGUGUAGACCAGUUUACCUUUGUGAAACGGCAAGCAGAAAGGCUCUCUGAGCAAAUACUGUGCAUCCAUCCCUUCCAGUGAUCUGAAUUAACCUGUUUCCAAGGAGGUCAUAAUAACGUCUUUGUACCAUCUUGCUUUAGCCUCAACUGGGCUUAAAUCUUAUAGUUGUGGGGGCGGAGUGGGGGUGGGGAUACCACCAGGAUCUUCAAACAUGAGAUCAGAAAUAUACCAAGACUCAUUCUUUUCACAAGGAUUGCUCUUUAUGAAAGAAAAGGCGUCCGUACUUAAAGGGCCCCAGGGCUGACAGAUUUCUAUGCUAGUGCUUCAAAUGUCCACUAGCCAAGGAGGUCAGCUUUGGACAAAGGGUCUGGGGAAUCCUGGCCUGGUUAGGUAACAGUCUGACAAGAGUUCUUAAGCUCAGAUCUAGCCUCUGCACUGUCAAUCUAAUAGAGCAAGAAGAGUUUCAUGUGUUGUGAUUUCAUUUACUGAUAUGAAUCUCACCAGUUUCUAUACCCGCCUCACCUCAUUCCUUUAACUGUGAAUGCAUGAUGUAUACCUGACUUCUUGCUUUGUGUCUUUUGGCCUUCUGCUUAUCGUCUGCUAAGGCUCCUGGAGUAGCUGUGUGAUCAGCCUUUCUUAUCGUGAGCCACUACUUUUUUAAGUUUAUUUCAUCACCUUUCUUUUUUUUUUUUAAUUUUGUUUUUAUUGGCGACAUAGUCUGGUUAUGCAGUCCUGACUGGCCUGCAAUUUCUAAUUUAGACCAGACAGCCUUCAUCUCGAGGUCAGCACCCUGCCAUGGCCUCCUGAGUGUUGGACUUAGAUAUGUGCGCCAUCACACCAUCACUAAACUUUCUUUUUCCUUUUUCUUCUCUGUCUCUGUCUCUCUGUCUCUGUCUCUCUGCUCCCCCCUCCCCCAAGACAGGAUCUCUCUAUCUAGUUCUGGCUGACCUAAGCUUGAUGUAGAUAUGGAUGGUCUCAAACUCACAGCUGUCCUCCUUCCACUGUCCCUGAGUACCGGGAUUAAAGGCAUGUAUCACUAUGCCUGGUCAGGACUAAACAUUUUUAAAGCAUAGCUUUUAUAAUCGCAUCUCCUAAUAGUUUUUUCAAAUAUUUUCCUUGUCUUCUUUGACCUCUGCUCCUUGUUUCCUUACACUGCCUACUACCAAAGCUGACCCGAAAAGGUGUCCAGAGGCUGCUAAGGCGCUGGUAGGGCUUUGUUUAUUGUUUGUUAGUUCGUAUCACUGGCAGAGUGGGUGGAGAGCUUGCAUGCAGCUGAAGAGUUCUUGAGAAAGACUGUGAACUGAGACUGCAGAAGCUGGGAAGAGCUUCAGGCCUGCACUCUGCAAGAGUUCAAGAGACACACCAAGAACUACCAUUUCUGGAGAGCCAAGAACCACUGGGAGAGGUUGAGAGCCCAAGGCCCUUAGCAUUUGAAGCCUAGAGUUGUAAAUCCAAGAGCCCAGGGCUAGUGUUACUCAAUGUUUGCAGUGAAACUCCAAGGAAACAGCCAGCAGAAUCCUGAUUUGUAUCUAAAUAGAGCAGAAGGACCCUCAGCCGAUGAGUAACAGCAACAAUGCAAGAGAUACAAGAACUUCAGGGCGGUGCUGGGUGAGGACGGGACUUUGAGCCCUUCAGAAGAGAGGCCUAUUUGGUGUAAAGACAAUGCUUUAAAGGCAGCCUUUGUUUAAGUCACUCCACCCAUCCCUGGUGUAUGGUGUGUGUGUGUGUGUGUGUGUGUGUGUGUGUGUGUGUGUGUAUGAAUGUGUGUGUUACAAAGGAAGUUACUUUGAUAUUCAGAGGAGCAAGGAAAUCUGCAGGAGAAACAACUACAAAUUUAUAUGUACAUUCAGCCUUAGGAUGAUUAUAGAUAAAUGAAUAGGCAAAAAAAAAAAAAAAAAGACUUCAAAGAAUUUUACUGUGUCAUUGUGUCAUACUUGUGAAGGUCUGGCAGGCCAAACAAAAUCCUGGAGGAAGGCACCUUCAAAGCAGGCUUCUAUGAACUGCCAUAUUUUCCAAGGAACAGCAACCACUUAUAGUAAAAAUAAUAAGACAACUGAAGUCAUUAAGGGCACAUGGAAAAAGGGUACCAUAAGUGAGAGUGAGCAGAAAUAACAAAAGGAACAGACUCACAAAAACAUCCAAUACUGGAUUUUCAACAUAGGAUAAAUUGUGGUUAGAGAAAUGAGAUGCCUUUGGGAGUGGUGACCUAUUUCCUGUUUUUCAUGUUUGUUUCCUGGUUCAAAGGUACUCGCUUGGUUAUAUCCUUUCACUGAUGUUUAAUGUUCUUAGCUGAGGCCAAUGCUAAACUCUUUGUGUACGUCUAAGGCAUCACUGCUCAAAGUUCAGUGUUCCACACCGCUCAAAACAGACCCCUAGACAACUCAGAAGUUAGUCUACUUUAUCCUGGUGCUCUCAUGGGCUUAACUGAGGUAAGUAACUGUGCUCUAUUACAUAUGAAAGGUAUGUUCUAGCUUUCCAAAUGAUCUUUGAGCUAUCAAAACAGUUCUUUCCUUGAAAUAGUUGCUGAAUUAGGCUUAAUUUGAAUACCACUCUCACCUUGCUAUAGAGCCAUUCAUGACAUUCAAAUAUUUGUAAAAGCCUGAUAUCCCAAGUUUCUUAUUGUUCUCAAAUCUCUACAAACCCUGCAGUUGGGUAAGCCUCCUCACUGAGUCUUUAAGAGCCAGGGUCAUUGUUAGGUUCUAAUUUGUACAUAUGUUUUUUUCCCCCUUCUUCCAACGUUCUCUGUCUUCAGUUCCUGAGAUGUUUUCUUACAUUGUGUCUGGAGGCCAUCACGCACUUCACUGACAGGAAGUAUGUGGUGAAGUAGCGCCUUGACCACUAAUGCCAAGCACGGUUGCAGGUACUCGAUUUAAAGAAAAAAAUAUAACUGUGAGUGUUGCUGUGGGAAUGUGCAUAUUAGUAUAUGAUUCAUAUAUUUUCUUAUGUUGUGAUAUGAGAAAAGCAAAUUAAAGGAGAAGGGUUCAUUUUAACUCACCAGUUAAGUUCCUGUCCAUCAUUUCAGGGUAACCAGGGAAACAAGACCAGGAGGGAAGUAGCUGGUUGGACCACAUCCACAAUCAGGAACCAGAAAGAGAUGAGUGCAAGCCAGGGCUCAGCUAGCUUGCCUCAUUUUAUAUCGUCUAGGAUGCCUUGUCCAGCAAAUACUUCCAGCUACAGUGGUACCUAUGACAGGCAUUCACCCACAAACAUACCAAACAACAACAACAGCAACAAUGACAACAACAACAAAGACUUUAAAACAAGCGAACAAUCGAACAAACCCUUCAAAACCCAAAGUAACAGGGUCAAAACAAUUGCCUGUGUACCAAGGAAGAGAGAGGCAUCCAAGUUCACAGAGGUCUCUUGAAGGGUGUGUGAGAAGAGCACAACAGGAGCUGGAGGUCAUCAUGUACCCUGUCUUGACAACCUGAAGAUUGCCCUGAAAGAUUUUUAACUCACUAUCUUUUGGACUGUCCGGUCUCAAAGAAACCUGGGUGUGGUCUUCACCAGUUUAUACUCCCACAAGCAGUGUGCGAAAUAUCCUGUUCUCCACAUCCUUGCCAGAACUUCAUGCAGUCAGACUGCCGUUUUUGCCAAUCAGGCUGAGACUAAGCCGGAUGGAUGUGAAUUCUUGGAUGCAUCACUGCAGCCAGCACACCCUACAAGUUCUCCCAGUGGCACAGGUGGGAUCAGGAAGAAACUUCUAAACUGCCUUGACCCUACAGUGAGGAGAAAAUGAUGAACGAAUACAAAUGAAACUCUAUGAAAACCAUACAGUGGUUCGGAGUCAAGGAAAAGAGGCUUCACAAAAGUUACACUAAAAACAGAGUGAAGGAGUGUGAAGGGAAAAUGACCAAGACUGAGUGGAGAACGAAACCUAUGGAGAACUAGACAGUUUAUAUGAAGAACCCCGGGGGAGUCAUUUUGGAGCCGUGCCGCUGAUUAUGAAUAUCAUAAAAACUUUGCAUGAAUGUGGGUGUUGCUGCAAGGGGGAAAAGUACAAGAAUACGGCAGAGUCAUUUUAUAUGUGGUACAUUACAUGGCAAGUAAGUGACAAUAUAUGAUGUGUUUGUGGCUAUUCUCGAGUAAGAAUCAGGGCAUGGAUAAGUAAAACAUGUUUAAACGGAGCUUCAAUGUACAGGUCUUAAAAGGAGACAAUAUUGCCCUCUCAAAUCUUUUUCUCUUCAGUAUGUUUAUAUUGAAAAGCCUAUAAUUAAUGGUUGCUAAGGAAUGAGGUGAUGAUUUUAUGUGCUUUGUUAUAAAGUCGAUAAUAUAAAAAAUUAAAAAGUA